UACGAAGGGUGCAAGCGUUGUUCGGAAUUACUGGGCGUAAAGGGCUCGUAGGUGGCCAACUAAGUCGGACGUGAAAUCCCUCGGCUUAACCGGGGAACUGCGUCCGAUACUGGAUGGCUUGAGUUUGGGAGAGGGAUGCGGAAUUCCAGGUGUAGCGGUGAAAUGCGUAGAUAUCUGGAGGAACACCGGUGGCGAAGGCGGCAUCCUGGACCAACACUGACACUGAGGAGCGAAAGCCAGGGGAGCAAACGGG
rnacentral:rRNA from 1 species